GUGGGGGAUAUUGCACAAUGGAGGAAACUCUGAUGCAGCGACGCCGCGUGAGUGAAGAAGUAUUUCGGUAUGUAAAGCUCUAUCAGCAGGGAAGAUAAUGACAGUACCUGACUAAGAAGCCCCGGCUAACUACGUGCCAGCAGCCGCGGUAAUACGGAGGGGGCAAGCGUUAUCCGGAUUUACUGGGUGUAAAGGGAGCGUAGACGGAAUGGCAAGUCUGAAGUGAAAUCCUGCGGCUUAACUGCAGAAUUGCUUUGGAAACUGUCAAUCUGGAGUGUUGGAGAGGUAAGCGGAAUUCCUGGUGUAGCGGUGAAAUGCGUAGAUAUCAGGAAGAACACCGGGGGCGAAGGCGGCUUACUGGACGAUAACUGACGUUGAGGCUCGAAAGCGUGGGAAGCAAACAGGAUUAGAUACCCUUGUAGUCC
rnacentral:rRNA from 1 species